UCCUCCUUAGCUCAGUUGGUUAGAGCAUCUGACUGUUAAUCAGAGGGUCGCUGGUUCGAGUCCAGCAGGAGGAGC
rnacentral:tRNA from 2 species